AGUUGUUGCGGUUAAAAAGCUCGUAGUUGGAUUUCUGUUGAGGACGGCUGGUCCGCACUAUGUGCGUGUAUCUGGUUCGGCCUUGGCAUCCUCUUGAGGAACGUUCCUGCGCUUGAUUGCGUGGGGCGGUAUUCAAGACUUUUACUUUGAGGAAAUUAGAGUGUUCACGGCAGGCAAGCGCCUUGAAUACAUUAGCAUGGAAUAAUAAUAUAGGAUCUUGGUUCUAUUUGUUGGUUUCUAGGGCUAAGGUAAUGAUUAAUAGGGAUAAUUGGGGGCAUUUGUAUUAACGCGUCAGAGGUGGAAUUCUUGGAUUGCGUUACGACAAACUACUGCGAAAGCAUUUGCCAAGGAUGUUUUCAUUGAUCAAGAACGAAAGUAUGGGGAUCGAAGAUGAUUAGAUACCGUCGUAGUCUAUACCAUAAACUAUGCCGACUAGGGAUUGGAGGUCGUUCUUUUUAUGACUCCUUCAGCACCUUAUGAGAAAUCAAAGUCUUUGGGUUCCGGGGGGAGUAUAGUCGCAAGGCUGAAACUUAAAGGAAUUGACGGAAGGGCACCACCAGGAGUGGAGCCUGCGGCUUAAUUUGACUCAACACGGGGAAACUCACCAGGUCCAGACAUAGUAAGGAUUGACAGAUUGAUAGCUCUUUCUUGAUUCUAUGGGUGGUGGUGC
rnacentral:rRNA from 1 species